AGUGAACGCUGGCGGUAAGCCUAACACAUGCAAGUCGAACGGCAGCACAGUAAGAGCUUGCUCUUACGGGUGGCGAGUGGCGGACGGGUGAGGAAUACAUCGGAAUCUACUUUUUCGUGGGGGAUAACGUAGGGAAACUUACGCUAAUACCGCAUACGACCUACGGGUGAAAGCAAGGGAUCUUCGGACCUUGCGCGAUUGAAUGAGCCGAUGUCGGAUUAGCUAGUUGGCGGGGUAAAGGCCCACCAAGGCGACGAUCCGUAGCUGGUCUGAGAGGAUGAUCAGCCACACUGGAACUGAGACACGGUCCAGACUCCUACGGGAGGCAGCAGUGGGGAAUAUUGGACAAUGGGCGCAAGCCUGAUCCAGCCAUACCGCGUGGGUGAAGAAGGCCUUCGGGUUGUAAAGCCCUUUUGUUGGGAAAGAAAAGCAGCAGGUUAAUACCCCGCUGUUCUGACGGUACCCAAAGAAUAAGCACCGGCUAACUUCGUG
rnacentral:rRNA from 1 species